AGAAGGAAACUUCUGCUAAUCCCGGAUGAGCCCUUGGGUAAAAGAUUAAUUGCCUGAAGAUGAGCUCGCGUCUGAUUAGCUAGUUGGUGUGGUAAAGGCAUACCAAGGCAACGAUCAGUAGCUGGUCUGAGAGGAUGAGCAGCCACACUGGGACUGAGACACGGCCCAGACUCCUACGGGAGGCAGCAGUGGGGAAUUUUCCGCAAUGGGCGAAAGCCUGACGGAGCAAGACCGCGUGGGGGAGGAAGGCUCUAGGGUUGUAAACCCCUUUUCUUUGGGAAGAAGUUCUGACGGUACCAAAGGAAUCAGCCUCGGCUAACUCCGUGCCAGCAGCCGCGGUAAUACGGAGGAGGCAAGCGUUAUCCGGAAUGAUUGGGCGUAAAGCGUCCGCAGGUGGCAAUGUAAGUCUGCUGUCAAAACCCAGGGCUCAACUCUGGUCAGGCAGUGGAAACUACGUAGCUAGAGUCUGGUAGGGGCAAGGGGAAUUCCCGGUGUAGCGGUGAAAUGCGUAGAGAUCGGGAAGAACAUCGGUGGCGAAAGCGCUUUGCUAGACCAGAACUGACACUCAGGGACGAAAGCUAGGGGAGCGAAUGGGAUUAGAUACCCCAGUAGUCA
rnacentral:rRNA from 1 species